rnacentral:tmRNA from 1 species
GCGAAUCGCCUGCAACCAGCCUGUCCGUCGGCGUGUUGCGGGUCAAAUCAAAUGACGCGGCUAAGUAUGUAGAACUGUAUGUGGCGCACUUGUGGACGCGGGUUCAAUUCCCGCCGCCUCCACCA